GAUUUCUGGUAUGAUGCCCCUGAUCCGCGCCCUUUACGGGGUGUGUGUGUUGGUGUGGCGUCUGCCAUCUUUUGUGUAGAUGCUACGUUUUUGAGGGGCCUUUACUGGUUUUUCAUACGUGGGUUAUCAUCUACAUCUUUUACUUUGAAAAAAUUAGAGUGUUUAAAGCAGGCUUUUAGCCCUUGAAUACAUUAGCAUGGAAUAAUAAUAUAGGACUUCGGUUCUAUUUUGUUGGUUUCUAGUACUGAAGUAAUGAUUGAUAGGGAUAGUUGGGGGUGCUAGUAUUCAGCGGCCAGAGGUGAAAUUCUUGGAUUCGCUGAAGACUAACUUAUGCGAAAGCAUU
rnacentral:rRNA from 1 species